rnacentral:rRNA from 1 species
UCCUUUGUUGCCAGCGCGUGAUGGCGGGAACUCAAAGGAGACUGCCGGUGAUAAACCGGAGGAAGGUGGGGAUGACGUCAAGUCAUCAUGGCCCUUACGAGUAGGGCUACACACGUGCUACAAUGGCGUAUACAAAGGGAAGCGACCCUGCGAAGGCAAGCGGAACUCAUAAAGUACGUCGUAGUCCGGAUUGGAGUCUGCAACUCGACUCCAUGAAGUCGGAAUCGCUAGUAAUCGUAGAUCAGAAUGCUACGGUGAAUACGUUCCCGGGCCUUGUACACACCGCCCGUCACACCAUGGGAGUGGGUUGCAAAAGAAGUAGGUAGCUUAACCUCCGGGAGGGCGCUUACCACUUUGUGAUUCAUGACUGGGGUGAAGUCGUAACAAGGUAACCGUAGGGGAACCUGCGGUUGGAUCACCUCCUUACCU